rnacentral:rRNA from 1 species
UGGGAACCUUCCCUAUGGUUCGGAAUAGCUCAGGGAAACUUGGGGUAAUACCGAAUAAGCCCUUCGGGGAAAGAUUUAUCGCCAUUGGAUGGGCCCGCGUCGGAUUAGCUAGUUGGUGGGGUAACGGCCUACCAAGGCGACGAUGGGUAGCUGGUCUGAGAGGACGAUCAGCCACACUGGGACUGAGACACGGCCCAGACUCCUACGGGAGGCAG